rnacentral:rRNA from 1 species
AAUUAUACCUUUAGGUAGUCAUUAAACCAACAUGCGUUGGCGGUCUUUACUUUUUAGAGAAACUCGCUUUAUAAUCGUAAACACCCGCUAAUUUUAACUUAAUUUAACUAGCCUAUAUACCGCCGUUAUUUAGAAUUUAACUAAAUUUAAAACCCUAAAUAUUUUAUACCUAUAAAAAAUCAGGUCAAGGUGUAGCUAAUAAUUAAGAAAAAGUAAGUUACAAUAAAAACAAUUUAAGGAACGCAAACAAAAGUAAACGCGAAAGAGAAUUUAUAAGUACACAUUAAUUAAAAAUUAAAGUCGAACUCCCCCAUAAAGAUGC